GUGGAGCUCCAUAGAGCGGCAAAGUGAGAAGGAUGGAAAAGCCACAUACUGGACACAUAUUUUGUUCGUCUUGGAGAUGAAGCGGAGUUUUUUGUUGGCAGCGAUUCAGACCCGCCAAAAACUACCAGCCCAGCCAGGAAGCCAGGAUAGUUAAACAGUGAUAACUAAACCCUACGAUUAGGAUUCACUGCAGUCGCUGUUGUCACCCGUUGCCUAAGAGCCUUGACAGACUGUGGCGCAUGUGCGCAACUGCGUGUCUUGUGGCGGCAUCAAAGCUGAUGAAGGACCCGUUUCGCCGUGUGAUGAAAGAUGAGAGACAAUACUCUUUCCUCAGGGAGGGAUGAAGAUUGAGAAAUUAAGAACAAUUAGACGCCCUUACCUGCGUAGAGGUUUAAUAUUCACAUCAGGAAGACUCAGAUGCCUGUAAGGACCUCCUAAGAAGCUGAAGCAUUAUUCAUUUAUUCGCUGACGUUCUUACACGGACACACAUCACUUCCUAAUUUUCCACCAGGGACGCUCAGCUUUUUUCAUCAGGACUUUCCACGUAUGCAGAUGAACUGUGAGCUGCAACCUUGACGGGGUCGUCAGCCACAAUGUUUGGAGUCACCAGAGGGCAGGAGUCCGGUCUCUUCACAGCUCCCGUCUGCGACUAAAUUGCUUCGUAUAUUGUGGCGAACAGCUCCAGAUGCUCCGAGUCACCUUGAGACAGCGGCCUCCAAUUCUAAAAAGGGGAUGGAGACAAAGAAAAAGGGAAAACAUAAGAUAAGUGGGCCAGCGACAAAGGUGUUGUUAAAGUGGAAAGUAAGGUUUUAGAGUGGAGAAGAUACAAAGGAGAAAUAUAAUUCAUGAAAUGCAUGAAAGCCUGUGUUUUUCUACUAUAUUUUGGGCAUAUGGAUAUUUAAUUUUAAGACUAAAAUGCAGGACAAUGUCUAAAUGUUUUACAAAGUAGAAUUGAUUUAUUUAUUUUUUUUGUACAUUUUGGAAAAUAUGAUUGAAAUUAGUGCGCCUGUGCCCUGUUGUAGAGAUAUUUGAUUAUUUACCUGUUAUCUUUCCCUUCAUCUGUGAAAAUUCAAGCACUUUUUAAAAAAAGUUUUAAAUAGCUUUCCUUAGGGGACUCCUCCACACUUAAGUUUUAGGAAAUUAAAAUAUAAAAGUGUUUAUGAUGCACGUUUUAUUUCAUAUCUGAUGCACAAACUAACCAAAUCAAACUGAGAAAGGAGGGAAAACCAGAUGAAGCAACAACAGCUGGGUGGAAAGUUGAGAUGAAAGAGUAAAAGAAAGUCAUGAGAGCAAAGAAAAGUAAGGAGACAACAUCUUUCCAGUUUGAGAUGAAAAAAAAAGGAUAAUCAUUAAAAUUGUCUGGCGAUGAUGAAGGAACCAAAGAAAUUCAGUUGAGAAAAAGUCACAAGAUCUCACACGUCAUCCUUUCCGAUUGAACCAAUUGCAGCCUUACGAUGGCGUCAUUAAAGAGAUAUUCACCAGCACAAAAAACGGCAAACUAUUUCAGCGACAUACAUUCAGAAACGUGACGUAAACGACAGCUGCUCUGGUUGUUUUGACUUCCACUUGCACAUUAACCAAAUCAUCAAAGCAGCACAAAAUUC